AUAAGUUUAUACCAUGGAUAGCACAAAGGAGAAGUGUGACAGUUACAAAGAUGAUCUUCUGCUUAGGAUGGGACUUAAUGAUAAUAAAGCAGGAAUGGAAGGAUUAGAUAAAGAGAAAAUUAACAAAAUUAUAAUGGAAGCCACAAAGGGGUCCAGAUUUUAUGGAAAUGAGCUCAAGAAAGAAAAGCAAGUCAACCAACGAAUUGAAAAUAUGAUGCAACAAAAAGCUCAAAUCACCAGCCAACAGCUAAGAAAAGCACAAUUACAGGUUGACAGAUUUGCAAUGGAAUUAGAACAGAGCCGAAAUUUGAGCAAUACCAUAGUGCACAUUGACAUGGAUGCUUUCUAUGCAGCUGUAGAAAUGAGGGACAAUCCAGAAUUGAAGGAUAAACCCAUUGCUGUAGGAUCAAUGAGUAUGCUGUCUACUUCAAAUUACCAUGCAAGGAGAUUUGGUGUUCGUGCAGCCAUGCCAGGAUUUAUUGCUAAGAGGCUGUGCCCACAACUUAUAAUAGUGCCCCCAAACUUUGACAAAUACCGAGCUGUGAGUAAAGAGGUUAAGGAAAUACUUGCUGAUUAUGAUCCCAAUUUUAUGGCCAUGAGUCUUGAUGAAGCCUACUUGAAUAUAACAAAGCACUUAGAAGAAAGACAAAAUUGGCCUGAGGAUAAAAGAAGGUAUUUCAUCAAAAUGGGAAGCUCUGUAGAAAAUGAUAAUCCAGGAAAGGAAGUUAAUAAACUGAGUGAGCAUGAACGAUCCAUCUCUCCACUACUUUUUGAAGAGAGUCCUUCUGAUGUGCAGCCCCCAGGAGAUCCUUUCCAAGUGAACUUUGAAGAACAAAACAAUCCUCAAAUACUCCAAAACUCAGUUGUUUUUGGAACAUCAGCCCAGGAAGUGGUAAAGGAAAUUCGUUUCAGAAUUGAGCAGAAAACAACACUGACAGCCAGUGCAGGUAUUUAAAAGGGUAUUGAUGGCCACUGUAGUUAUAAUUUUCAGACUGGCUAAUUUAAGUGUAAUAUUAGUAGUUUCUCAUUAUAAAGUAUAUAGUAACAUUUUACUUACUUAGUCUUUCAUUCAACUUCUAACAACUUUACCUAUUCAGAAUAGCUGUGAACCUAGUAAGUAAAUUGGAAUUAAGCAGACUAUGAGCCUGAAGGAAAAAAAAGAUUAUACGUUUCUUUCUUUUUUUUUUUUUUUGAGAUGGAGUCUUGCUCUGUUGCCCAGGUUGGAGUGCAGUGGGGCGAUCUCAUUCAGCUUACUGCAACCUCUGCCUCCUGGGUUCAAGCGAUUCUCCUGCCUCAGCCUCCCAAGUAGGUGGGACUACAGGCGCAUGCCACCAUGCCCAGCUAAUUUUUUGUAUUUUCAGUAGUGACGGUGUUUCACCAUGUUAGCCAGGAUGGUCUCCAUCUCCUGACCUCAUGAUCUGCCCACCUUGGCCUCCCAAAGUGCUAGGAUUACAGGCCUGAGCCACCGCGCCUGACCCAUAAAUUUCAUAUAGCUAUCUUUUUCUAGCACAAAAUAUAUUUUUAUUGGUUUUGCAUGUAAUAACUUGAUUAUUAGUUUUUCCUUGGGAGACUUCAAUCCUGUCCAAGAUUACAUUGCAGGAGAGAACCCAGACGGCCACAAGGUAAGAGACAAAAGAAAUACUAACUAGCAACAUAGCAAUCCAGAACCAUCUGGUAAAAGGAAAAACAAAUUUACAUAUGUUGAUAACCCAUGAGGCCAUCACUGUCUCUUAGCAUAAUAACUGUUAUUCAUCAUGAGGACCCUGAACUAUCUUGUAAAAGCCAUAUUGUGAUUAGGUAAAUCUUUUCUUUCUACACCAAAGCAUGAGAAUGAAUAAUGCAUUUUAGGAAGAUCUAUAUAACAAUUAAAAUGAACUGUUUAAUGAAUAUAUUUGAAUAUACCUAUUUCAAAUUAUCUUAAUUAGGACUCCUAGAAAUUGUGAAACAUCUUUUUGAAAAAUAGUAAUUUGUUUUGUGAAUAACAUAAAAAGGAUACACCAUCUAAUUAUCAUUAUUUUAAAUAUACCGUAACCAGAAUCUUUGAUUUUUUGCUUUAUGUGGAUAAUCUACGCAAAAGACAUUUUCAAAGAGUAAACAUCCACCCUAAAUUAUAUUCUGUAUCUUUUCUUAGAGAUAGAUAUAGAACCACUAUAAAAACAAUCUGGGCUGGGCGUGAUGGCUCACGCCUGUAAUCCCAGCACUUUGGGAGGCCGAAGCUGGUGGACUACCUGAGGUCAGGAGUUUGAGACCAGCCUGACCAAUAUGGUGAAACCCCCAUCUCUACUAAAAAUACAAAAAUUAGCCAGGCAUGGUGUUGCGUGCCUCUAAUCCCAGCUACUCGGGAGGCUGAGACAGGAGAAUCGCUUGAACCCAGGAGGUGGAGGUUGCAGUGAGCCAAGAUCACGCCAUUGCACUCCAGCCUGGGCGACAGAGCAAGACUCCAUCUGAAAAAAAAAAAAAAAAA
rnacentral:sRNA from 1 species